CUCUGUGGUCAUAAAGGGAUGGCAUCAAAGCUCCGGCAGGUUGUGGUGUUUAAAUGAUGCUCAGCUGGUAGUAGAGCCUCUGGCUCUUUUACAGCAGUCAACGUGCUGACGUGAAGCAGACUUUAAAUAAAUGUAACAAGCAGAGGGUUGUUCCUAACAGUAUCUGAGUUAAAUUAUGAUCAUUCAAGUGUUUUUUGUAUUAUACUAAAUCAAUCUUAAAAACAGUCAGUCCCCACAUUUGUGCCACUUUAUAUUUGACCUCAGCUGUUCUGCUUCCUCUCUGUGCCUUAUCUUUAUUUACUCAGGGCAGGUUGGACCUUUGUUCAGUGCUGUUUUUCUCCUAACUGUUACACACCCUGCAGCUCCCAGUACAGUCACUUUAAUUCAGUUUUUUAUCACAGUUUAUGGUUUCUUUUGUGCCAUUUAAUCUGUGUACUGCAUCCUGUGGAUGGAAACUUUGUGUCUUAAUUCCAAUGGGUGGUGCAUUUUUUAUAUCUGAUUACAACAAAAAGUGUGUUCAGUGCACAAGUGAGAUUAAUUUCGCCUUAAGCCUGGAAAUAUUAAUUUCUGUGAGAAAAGAAUCAUCUUACGUAUGAGUUUAGAUUUCAGGGAAAUGCAGCAGACAUGUCUCUCCCAAUAUUACAUGUAUUUGUACUUUCUACCCCCAAAUGACACGAUGAAAGAAGUCAAGGACUACUUCUGAAUUGCAACGUGGUGCUUUAUUUUCAUGAUUAAGAAAUUUCCAUCACAAACCAGUGCAGAAUUCAGCAGAAAUUUAACGUGUCUCCUUCAAUAAUAAUAUGAAACCUGCACCGAUGCGCCUGUGUGUUGACUGUGCAUAACGUCUGUGCAGAUGCUCAGCUUUAUAAGCAUCAACAGGUGACACCAAGUAUUCAAAAGUUUUGCAGGACUGCAAACGAUUAAAAAAAAAACUCUAACCACAGGGCAAAAUAGAUCAUGUGGGUCUGUGGGUGUGCACUCUUAUAAAAUCUAGUUUGCUGACUGUAUAUUAAUGAUUGUACACACACACACCCAUGUAGGUCAUAAAAAAGAAAAUAGUCUGAUAGGAGUUCAGACUCAGCCCCUGCUUCAGGUUCAGCUGCACAUAAAAAGCAGCAGCAGGUGACGUCUGCAUCUGCAGAUCUGGUCUCAGCACUCGGUAUGUUCACCUGUGAUGCACCUGUGAUACACCUGUGAUACUCUUGUCUUUGUGUUCAUUAAAGAUUUUAAUUUAAAAUCUGUGUUUUUAUUCUUCAGGACCUGCAGUUUCUCCUGGUAACGCAGCAAAAUGUACGGACACAACCAAGGCCCACCUGGUUACCCGAACUAUCCUCCGCAGGGGGGUUGCCCUCCGCAGGGGGGUUACCCUCCACAGGGGGGUUACCCUCCACAGGGUUAUCCUCCAGGGACUGUCCCACCAACCUGUCCUCCUCAGCACCAUGGGCCACAUGGAGGACACGGACAUGGGCACGGACCUGGUUCUGGUUGUUGUCAAGGCCAAGGAUCCUGCCAAGGGCACGGGCACGGACAUGGACAUGGACACGGACAUGGACAUGGACAUGGACACAAGGACAAGAAAAAGGACAAGAAAAAGGACAAACAUAAGCACAAGCACGGUCACAAGCAUGGCCACUGUCACAAGAAAGGAAAGGACAGCCACGGGUCUUCCAGCAGCUCCUGCAGCAGCGACUCCGACUAGAUGGAAAAAACCCGGAAACCUUCAUGCUCCUGUCUCAUCAUUUUGAGCUUUGACACAGUUUUGCUUAAAAAAAAAAAAUCAGUCCAGUUUUUGUCAGAAAAUAAUAAUAAUCUAAACUUUGAUAGAUACCAAAUGAAUCAUCUGUCAAGUUACUUUAGAUCAUUGUGAGCUUUAACAAGCAUUAUUUUUAUCCAGUGUUUGUCAGCAAAGAAAUAAAAGUGAUUUCAGUGCA
ensembl:lncRNA